CGCGUAUAACGUAGCAUAGUAUUGUGUGUCCCGCAAGAUAACAAAUAGAGUUGCACCUGUAACAACAGUGCAUCACAAUGCAGUGAUGGCAUUGAAGUAAUGGCACACUCGACAGCGCCGUUUGGGAAGAGCGUCCAGUCCAUUUGAUACAGACAGCCAAGUGACCAGGGACCAACCGCUACAUGUGUUGGUUUAGGUUUCGAAUACUGAACGAAGGCUACGUUGACCACACGGAAGCCAUCAAUCUAUCCGUUGUCUACAGCCUCAGUAUCUACAGCCUGUUGCGCUUGCCGGUGAUAAAUGAGACCCAAUCAAUGUAUCAACUAAUUGCAAAGGGUCAGUAACGUUUUAACAUAAGCCUUGGACCUGGACCUGGACCCAGGGGACGAGAAGCUUUCCUGAGCGCAAUGAAAGUGCCAGCAGAAGGUUUAGGAAUGGAGAUGCUGCUCUUAGUGAUCUUUGCUUAGCGGGAAGAGCGAAAUCAAUGACAAGUGAAGAAGGUCGGGCAGGAGCAUCGCGAGGUAUACAAGUACAUCGUAUCUAUGAGACCUGGGACAAAUGAAUGGAACGUACCAGCAACCGUCUAAUGUCGUAAGUGGCUUUCCGUUCUUAGCUUUCCAAAUACAAGUCGCGGUCGAUUAGUAGGAAACGAUCACUGGCUGAAGACAAGGAUAAGUGGUUUCAAUCCAAGAAGGUCGGUUCACUUUAGAUCAUUUUAAAAUAAAUACACAUUCUUUUUUAUCAAACUACGUCGAGGAAGCAUGUGUUUACCAUUGACCACGGGUUGGGGAACAUUUACAAAAUGCUUUUUAUAUUUUUUCCAGUAAAAUCCGUGUGAUCCCACUGUUUACUUACACCGUGCAUGCGACCCAAAACGCCGGAUUACACUAAGCAUCCUUUUCUACAAAUGAUAUUUGAGAACAAGUUUUAUAAUGUUAAAUUUAAACAGAUUACGUUCAACUUGUUUAACUAUGGCAAUUCUAAUAAUGGGAACAUGAACAAUCCUGGUUUUGGAAUAGAAAAGAAAUGUCGUGGUCAUGCACCAUACAAGAAGCAUCAACAUUUCCCGUCAAUUCCCGAAUUUGUUUAGAAGAAAAAUGUUCGUGAAAAUUAUUACAGUUUUAGUUAAUUUUUUUUACUCGAAAGAAAACCGAAUGCAAGUGUAUUGAUCCAUAAGAAGAAUAUCGCUUGAGUGGGAUCCGUGAAAGGAGGUAGCCCAUACCUACUUUACUGUUAAAAAGGGAAACAAAAACAUAUCCGGUGGUCUCUUAAAAAAUAUAUAGCCUCCCUGAAGUCGAUGGGAAUAAAAUUUUGCACAGAACCGGAAACUGCUGUCUGUAUUCGAGUCAAUAUUCCUUACGAAAACGCUUUGUGUGGGCUACGUAGUACCGAGUUCCACAAUUUUAUGGAUUUCACGAAAGCCAUUUGAAACGGGUAUUCUCCUGAACACCUGUAAAAUUCAACGGCGAGACGAAAGCGAACGUCGUCGCUCCGAAGUUGCCUUUACUAAUACAGUUUUUACUUUUUGUCCAUUUAGCUCUCUGCCUUUACAUUCUUCAUCUUUUUUUUUGUUUUCUGCACGGUUUGCAUGCACACGUGUGUCAACAGUUUUUGUCCUUCUAUUCAAUAACAGCAAAACUCUGAAAUGGAAAUGAAGGCGUAUGCUCAAGCGUAUGCUAUACUUACACGGAGUGAAUGAAGUUCGUGAAGUGAUAAAAGUAUUGUUAUAUUCAUUUAAUGUAUAACCGUCGUGACUAGCAGAAAGAUAACAACAUUUAUUAUUAGUAGAAAUGGAUGCAUUUGAGUUAGUAUUUUUUUAUUUACUAACUCAAAUGCAUCAAGCAUUUGGAAUAAGAUGAGCUAAACGUCGAGUUUUACAAAAGUAUGUCCCAUUUACCAGCCGCACGAUUUUCUAAAAUGGAGAAUAGUGUUCAAACGAUUCACUAUGAAAAAGAUGGUACAUAUGUGCAAGAGACCACAGAUGACCGGUUACGGUUUGAGUCCGACUUUUGGUUGGACAAUAAUAACUUCAUUAAAAACUUGAAAAUUGAGCCUCCUACCCGUUGAUUGCAUGAAGUGGUAGAGCCUAACUCAUUUUUAAUAUCUCUAUGUCAUAAAUACACGCAUACACGUACACUCUUCAGAUCAAUCUUUUACGCCAGGUAGCGGUUACUGACCAUUUUGUCCAAACCCCAAAUUUCACACCACUAAUCGCGAUAACCGACAAUCAAAAAUAGUUCCACCCAACCAUACCGAAAAGGGUAGACAAACCAUUCUAUUCUAUUUGCCUUUUUGGGUAUUCGGUUCUGCUGAGUGACCCGCCAUACCUAUUAGGGAAUUUAAUGAGAAGUACGUCCUUUCCAUGAUUGGCUUACCCACUUUGCAUUCAACUAUCAGGCGAUGUCGAAUGCAUUCUGAAAUCAGUGGUGCACACCAACGUAAAAUUCUUGUUAAAAAAAAAUCCCGUUUAAAUGAAUAUAUUUGGUGCACAGAAACUUGUGCUUGUGCUUGUGGAUCAAUUUUCAAUAAUGAAGGCCAAAAGCACAAUCCAAAACACGAAACAAAAGUGGGCUAGUAUUUGGAGAACUUAAUUACAAAAAUA